GCGGCACGCCUAACACAUGCAAGUCGAACGAAGUAGCAAUACUUAGUGGCAGACGGGUGAGUAACAUGUGGGUAUCUGCCCUUUGGCCUUGAAUAACACGAGGAAACUUGUGCUAAUACCGGAUAAGUCUUUACGGAGAAAGCUUUAUGCACCAUUGGAUGAGCCCGCACUUGAUUAGUUAGUUGGUAGGGUAAUGGCCUACCAAGACUGUGAUCAAUAGCUGAUUUGAGAGGAUGAUCAGCCACAUUGGGACUGAGACACGGCCCAAACUCCUACGGGAGGCAGCAGUGGGGAAUCUUGCACAAUGGAGGAAACUCUGAUGCAGCGAUGCCGCGUGAGUGAAGAAGGCCCUUGGGUUGUAAAGCUCUUUCGUCGGGGAAGAAAAUGACUGUACCCGAAUAAGAAGGUCCGGCUAACUUCGUGCCAGCAGCCGCGGUAAUACGAAGGGACCUAGCGUAGUUCGGAAUUACUGGGCUUAAAGAGUUCGUAGGUGGUUGAAAAAGUUGGUGGUGAAAUCCCAGAGCUUAACUCUGGAACUGCCAUCAAAACUUUUCAGCUAGAGUAUGAUAGAGGAAAGCAGAAUUUCUAGUGUAGAGGUGAAAUUCGUAGAUAUUAGAAAGAAUACCAAUUGCGAAGGCAGCUUUCUGGAUCAGUACUGACACUGAGGAACGAAAGCAUGGGUAGCGAAGAGGAUUAGAUACCCUCGUAGUCCAUGCCGUAAACGAUGUGUGUUAGACGUUGGAAAUUUAUUUUCAGUGUCGCAGCGAAAGCGAUAAACACACCGCCUGGGGAGUACGACCGCAAGGUUAAAACUCAAAUGAAUUGACGGGGACCCGCACAAGUAGUGGAGCAUGUGGUUUAAUUCGAAGAU
rnacentral:rRNA from 1 species